AAGCCCGAGGAACCGGAUAUCUGCAACGAGCGGGCGGAAGUGGUGGUAGGCUAAGCUGACUGGCACCGGGAAGGCUGAUAGGGACCUCAAACUCAGGGCCUUCUAUACCUGUGAGUUCUGGGCCUAAAACUGAGGCUGAGGCUGCAGCCUCCUAAGGAGGCUGCACACACACUUCCUAACUGUAAAGGCCUUAUCAGAUGCUGCUGGUAGAAGGAGCAGAGCACUGGCUGGUUGGAAGAAAAUCCACAAGCUUUUCUCAUGAAGCCCCGGGUAAGCAUCAAACAGAGUACUAAAGGAGUCCAUCUCCUUCACCUACUUUUCUGCUCCAGAAAGAACAUAAAGCAAGGGCUCUUUCUUCUCUGGGCUCUGCCACCUCCCCCAGGCCUCCCCUGCCCUAGAGAUCACAGACAUGCACACCAGAUUCCCCCUUAAAUAGCUGUUUAUUGGCAGUAGGCUGGAAACAGUGGAGUUAGCGUACACAGACAACACCAGG